AGUGACCAGGUUAGAGAGAGCCUCAAAUGGCUGCAGCUUGGAUGAUAUUUUGGAGGUGAUGGGGAUUCACUCUGGAUUUUUGGAGUAGAGAAGCAUUUUGAUGAGAGUUUUACACUUUUGCCCUUCUGCCCCAUCUUUGUGGGCAUUUACUCUUGGGGGGGGGGUCCUGCUGGCAGGUAGUAGUCUGCCUUGGGUCUCUAGUGGAAAACAUGGUGGUUUGGGAAUCAGACUGCCUGGGUUCAAAUAUGUGUAAUAAUUCUCCCUAAUUUCACUUUAGUUUCACUUUAGUGAAUCCAGAACAGUUUCUGCAGCUUUAAAGACCAUAUAUUGCCUACAGUAGCUGCAGAGGACAAGCACUUCAGCUUUGGGUUUAAUGCCAGAGGAUUUUGUGGAAAAGGAGACAACAAACCAAACUCUUUGAUUCAUUGCGUGGUGGCUGCUCUGGAUAAAGGCCGAGUAAGAGCUUCCACGCUUCCUCCGGAUUCACCUGAAGAGCGAAGCAGGCCGCCGAAGCCCACCGCUGAAGCCCACCUGCAAAUGGAGACCGUGGGCCAUUUCCUCGGGCAUCCGCUCAGCAGCUGAGGUCGCUAAUAGCCGGCCAAUUCAAAACACACAAUUCUCUAUAAUAAAUAGUGGUCAACCAAGCCUUGUUCCUCCCAGACGUUUCUCCCUCACCGCCUUUCACUUCUCCUUCAGAUGGCUUCCCCUUUCUGUAUUGUGUGUCACUUCAAAGCAGUUCUCCUCUGGAGGUGGCCACCGGAGGUUCCCGCGUGGAAUCCUGCCCCUUUGGACGGCCCUGCGGUCCACAAAACGUCGCCGUCGUUUCCAGGUCAUCGGAGAAAGAGGGAGGGACCAAAAGGAGAAUUGAUUAUAAAAGGAUAUUUUUUAAAGUCACAAAAGAAAACAGAAGGAAUGUCAAGGGGAAACACAGGCAAGUAGGACGGCUUUAAACAAAACACAAUUGAUUGUGUAUUUUGUAAAAAAGAUGUACACGAUGGACACUCAUUAUUUAUCAUAUAAUCUUCUCUUCCUGUUAUAUCUAUAUGGAAAAAAUUCAUAUUUGUUUAGAAAGAAUAACUGAAAUUUAAAAUUCAAAAGAAAUAAAAGUAAGGCACCUGGCACAGGCCCAGAAAGGGUGCAUUGGAGGCAGUGAACACAUUUUAGGAAAGGGGAAGAGCCAAAAGGAAACUCUCAUCCCUCUACCAAAACAGAUGUGGGAAUCAUUGUAUUAAAGUAUAGAGAGAGCACGUCUUCACGGCCCAGGUCCCACUCCCUCUGAUGCUGGUGGGUCAGUCAGGACCCGACUUCCUUGGCUCAGGGUCCCGGGAGCUCCCUGGACUGACUGGACUAGGGUCUCCCCUCAGGCUCACAGCCCAAGCUCCCUUUGGGAUGGGUCCCACCAAUAUCAUUUCCCAGUUAUCUCCUCAAUAUCAGCGCCGGCUGCUAUCACUUCAGUGUCAUCCAUAGCUCUGAUUAGCACCAGGAGCAUUUCAUCAAUUGUCAUCAAUGUGCUAUUUGAAAGGAGAUUUAUGGAGAAGCCGGAGGAAGCACAGCCCUGGAAACAGGGGCACCUCCUUCUAUACCACCUGGGGCCUGGGGGAGCAUGGGCUUAAAUGGAAAGCAGUUGGCACAAAGGUACCCAGUUCCCUUCUGGCUGGUGCAGCUGGUGCAUGGAAUUGUUUGCAGAAACCGGGAUCUUGGGGUAAAUCCAUUGCUGGUCUAGGAUCAAGGUUUGGGGCCACCAGGACCAGCUGCCCCAGUCUCUGGUCCUGGAUGCCUUUCCCAAGCAUCCGAAACUGCCAGAGCCCCGAUGUAAGCCAUUUUACUACUGACCAAGGCAAGAAUGAAUCAUCCCAGAGAGACAGAAGCAAUAGAUGAGCCACGUGGGGGUGGCCUCGUGUCUCCGGGGGUGAGAGCGGGGGCUGGCGCUCCCCUCGCCGGGGGGCUCAUAGCAGUUAUUUCCCCUACAUUCAAAUGUAGCCGCGCAGGAAAUCGGGUCACUCUGAGGUCACCUUGUGCUUUUUGAAUGAACACUCACUUCUAGCUCGUAGCCAAUCAAAUAAGUUUCCAGCAGAUUUACUGGAAAGAGUCACAGAUACCUGAAGUCCACGUGGGGAAUCCCCCUGGCCUGGCGGGCGGGGCUCUCGUUCUCCACCACACGUGGAACAAACGAAUGGGGAUCGGGGCAAAAAUAAAAUCAAAGUAGGAACUUAAUGGGACAAGUUCGAAGGAGCCCAAUCCUCAAAAUCCAUAUGGUGAACUAGAAACAAACAUGUGAUGUAUAGAAACAAAUAAUGUUUGUUCAAUCUAAUAGUUCAAAAAUCAACAGGUACCUACUGGGAGCAGAACGCUUUGUCGGCCAUUAGGAGACGUUUGUAGCUUCCAUAUAUGGGAGAGGGAUAUGACAAGUACGACAUGACGGCUAAAUACGUCCCAGAAGUAGAAAAGGCGCCUGCUGGAAGACUUAAUGACCAACUGGGGCAUCAAGUAAAGAAAAGCUUCCUGGAAAAGAUCCCAAGGAAGGGGGGAUUUUAAGGAGAGCUGAGAAAUCAGUCAUCUGAAGGGGAUGGGUGGGUGAAGGCAUUCCAGGCGCAGGGAAGAACGUGGACAAAGGCCGUGGGGUGAGAAACUACAGGGAAUCUGAAGAAGUGCUGCUGAAUCAUCACUUUGGCUGAAGUAUUGAAUACACAGGGAGAAAGAAUACGUGAUAAAGUUUGAAAGGCAGGGCAGACUGUAUUUUUAACUUUAUUUAAAACUUAAGUAAAAAAAUAGAAAAAUAAAAAUAAAAAUUGUCG